UCUUUUUGUUAAAUAUAUAAAGUCUCGCCUGCCCACUGAAAUUUUAAAUGGCCGCGGUAUUUUGACCGUGCUAAGGUAGCAUAAUCAUUAGUUUUUUAAUUGAAAACUGGAAUGAAGGGUUGGAUGAAAAAAAAGCUGUCUCUUAUUAAUUUCAUUAGAAUUUUAUUUUUAAGUUAAAAAGCUUAAAUUAGUUUAUUAGACGAGAAGACCCUAUAGAGUUUUAUUUUAAUUGUUAAUUUAUAUUUUGGAAUUUAUUUUAUAUUAUUAAUUAAAAUUUAAUUGGGGUGAUUUAAAAAUUUAGUUAACUUUUUAUAUUUAAUAAUAUUUAUUUAUAAUUUUAUGAUCCAAUAUUUUUGAUUAUAAGAUAAAUUACCUUAGGGAUAACAGCGUAAUUUUAUUGGAGAGUUCAAAUCGAUAAUAAAGAUUGCGACCUCGAUGUUGGAUUAAAA
rnacentral:rRNA from 1 species